UCCCGGGGAGGGGGAGGGGAGGGGGUGCAGCCCUGCCCAGGGCGCUCGCCCGGGGGUCCCGACACAGCCGGAGGGGGUGAGGCAGGAGCCCCCAGAUGACUUCAACACGCAGCCAAGUGCGGGCAGUGCGGCGUGAGCUGGAGGGAGGCGGUGAGUACCGGUGGGGGGUGGGGGGUGUGCUGUAAAGAAGGGCAGCCGCCUUCCGGAGGACCCGGGGAAGGGCGCUGUGCCUCCAGCAGCUGGCUGGGACCAUGAUGUGAUGGCAGGCGCUCGCUCGUUCUUUACUCUCACGCGGCCUCCUCUCACUGCUCCCAACCUGUCCCCUGGGCCCCUCGGGCCUGCACACUGGGCUACGCCCGCGCAGCCACACCACCGGCCUCCCUAGAACCUCUAUUUUGUUCCUUCCACGGCUGCACCCGCGCUGUCCAAGAGGAAGCCCCGCCCCCUGAUCCGUGGGACAGUCGGCAAAACGGUGGGGCUGCUGAGCCUGGGAGAGGCUGGCCGCCGCCCCCAAACUGCUCCCGAACAUUCCACGCGCGUGACCUCAUCCGCCCCAGCGUUUCUGCAGAGCGGGGAAGUGACAGGUGUUUACAGGAGGCCACGGGCCUUAGCAAUCUCUGCACCGCCACGGGGCAAAUGGAUGUUUUCGCCAGUCAGAGAAGCAUGGCCCCAAAUCUCCGGUGGCUCACCCACAGACAUCAAGAUAAAAGUUGUAUUCUUUUACCCCGUAUGAUCGGGCCCCAUGUGGUAUCUGCUUCAUCUGCGACAGACCUCUCCCCCUUUGUGAGGCCCUCAGCCCUGCCCUCUGUGCUCCUGCUGAACCGUCUGUAACUCACAGGCCCGUCACCGCGCCGAGAUGUGCUGCCCGCGCCUUGGGAAAGCGGCUGGCUUCACUCUGUCUUCAUUUUUUUUUUUUAAUGUUUUUAUUUAUUUUUGUGACAGAGAGAGACAGAGCAUGAGCAGGGGAGGGGCAGAGAGAGAACAGGGAGGCCACGUGGGGCAGCACACUGACGUCCCCCACUCACGAGUCAGGGUGACUGACAGACGUUCACAGGAGAAGCGUAGACCCCUUCCCUCACCCGCAGCCCCAACAAGCCCACCCUUCUGGGAGAUCGACCGCGGACGACAACCUUCUCCAGCGUCCUCAGUCAUGUGCAAUACUGGAUCGUUCAGGCCCCCACAGGGGUUCCUAUGACGUAGCUUCCUCCCACAGACGGUCAUCCCAGAUUGGACAGAGCCACCCGCCGCGUCCCCUCAUGGCCCGAGUUACUCGGUCCGGGCUGGAGGGCGGCCUUUGCUGCAGGUACGGGAGGGGCAGGGAGAACGGCCGGUGCUCCCUCUGCCCGGCAGGUGCAUUCUGGCUCCCAUCCCCCCGGCUACACAGCUCUGGACCCAGGCCACCUGCUCUCCUGGGAGCCCGGAGGGAUCUUUCUAUGGUUCUGCCUAUUUUGUGAGCACUAUCUUCUAUUUUCAUUUCUUCUUUCCGUCAGAGUAGCUGCCUUCCUCCAGCUGUGAAGCGGGAGGUCAUUUCAGCCUCGGGCUGAUGAGGAGUCAGUCCCACCCUGCGCGGUCCCUCGGCCAACAGGCCACACACAACCAAAGGUGCAGGAACAAAGGACGCCUCCUGCUGUGACAGGCAGUCGGUGGGGACGGUUGCCUUCCGCGGGCGGCGCCUCUCGAUGCUCACGGCGAGCACCGUCCCGGAGGACGGCGAGCGGCGUGGGGUUUGGCACGCCCGGGGACGGAGGCGAGCUCGGGUCUUCAGCCCAAGGACACACAUCAC